rnacentral:tRNA from 1 species
GCCCAAGUGGCGGAAUUGGCAGACGCGCUAGGUUGAGGGCCUAGUGGACAUAAUAGUCCGUGGAGGUUCGAGUCCUCUCUUGGGCA